UACGUAGGGUGCAAGCGUUGUCCGGAUUUAUUGGGCGUAAAGAGCUCGUAGGCGGUUUGUCGCGUCGGAUGUGAAAACCCAGGGCUCAACCCUGGGCCUGCAUUCGAUACGGGCAGACUAGAGUAUGGCAGGGGAGACUGGAAUUCCUGGUGUAGCGGUGAAAUGCGCAGAUAUCAGGAGGAACACCGGUGGCGAAGGCGGGUCUCUGGGCCAAAACUGACGCUGAGGAGCGACAGCGUGGGGAGCGAACAGG
rnacentral:rRNA from 1 species